rnacentral:rRNA from 1 species
AGCGGAGGAAAAGAAACUAACUAGGAUGCCCUUAGUAACGGCGAGCGAACCGGGCAAAGCCCAACUUGAAAAUCUCCAGCCUCCGGCUGGCGAAUUGUAGUCUAUAGAAGUGCUCUCUGUCGCAGUCUGGUCCCAAGUCCCCUGGAAAGGGGCGUCAAAGAGGGUGAGAACCCCGUUGGGACCGGGUCCUGUGGCUCCACGAGACGCUUUCGAAGAGUCGGGUUGUUUGGGAAUGCAGCCCAAAGCAGGUGGUAAAUCCCAUCUAAGGCUAAAUACAGACGGGAGACCGAUAGCGAACAAGUACCGCGAGGGAAAGAUGAAAAGAACUUUGAAAAGAGAGUUAAAAAGUACUUGAAAUUGUUGAGAGGGAAGUGAUUGGAUCCUACGGGUGCUCCUAGGCACACGCCUGCCUAACGGUUGGCUGAAUGCGCUAGGAGCUGGUCAGCAUGGGUUGAUCGGGCGGGAUAAACCCGGGGGUUGUUACCCCGGCUAUGUCGCCUGGUCGACCGAGGAAUGAAGGGCGCCCCAGUCCUCCGGGAACUGCGUCCUCAAGAUGCUGGCGGAAAGGUUCCAAUCAGCCCGUCUUGAAACACGGACCAAGGAGUCUAACAUGCAUGCGAGCUGGUGGGUGACAAACCCAUGAAGCGUAAGUAACCUGACUGGUGGGAUGGCCUGUGCCUGCACCAUCGACCCCGCUUGAGGUUUUCCGAAGGCUGGGAGUACGAGCAUGCCUGUUGGGACCCGAAAGAUGGUGAACUAUGCCUGAGCAGGGCGAAGCCAGAGGAAACUCUGGUGGAGGCUCGUAGAUGUGCUGACGUGCAAAUCGCUUUUCGGACUUGGGUAUAGGGGCGAAAGACUAAUCGAACCUUCUAGUA